rnacentral:rRNA from 1 species
AAACAUGUCUUUUUGGAGUUUAUUUAAAGUCUGACCUGCCCACUGAAAUUUUAAAUGGCCGCAGUAUUUUGACUGUGCAAAGGUAGCAUAAUCAUUAGUCUUUUAAUUGAAGGCUGGUAUGAACGGUUGGACGUAGUAUAAGCUGUUUCAUAUAAAUUUAUAAUAGAAUUUUAUAUUUUAGUUAAAAAGCUAAAAUUUUAUUAAAAGACGAGAAGACCCUAUAAAUCUUUAUAUUUUAUAUUAACUAAAUUUUUUUGAUUUGUUUUAUUUUUUAAAUAUAAAUUAUUUUGUUGGGGUGAUAUUAAAAUUUAAUGAACUUUUAAUUUUUUAAAAUCAUUAAUUUAUGAUUUAUUGAUCCAUUAAUAAUGAUUAUAAGAUUAAGUUACUUUAGGGAUAACAGCGUAAUUUUUUUUGAGAGUUCAUAUCGACAAAAAAGUUUGCGACCUCGAUGUUGGAUUAAGGUAUAAUUUUGGGUGUAGCCGUUCAAAAAUUAAGUCUGUUCGACUUUUAAAUCCUUACAUGAUC